rnacentral:rRNA from 1 species
CGCGAAACCUUUACACUGCACGACAGUGCGAUAAGGGAACUCCGAGUGCGGAGGCAUAGAGCCUUCGCUUUUGUACACCGUAAGGUGGUGCACGAAUAAGGGCUGGGCAAGACCGGUGCCAGCCGCCGCGGUAAUACCGGCAGCCCAAGUGAUGGCCGAUAUUAUUGGGCCUAAAGCGUCCGUAGCUGGCCGGACAAGUCCGUUGGGAAAUCCGCGCGCUCAACGCGCGGGCGUCCAGCGGAAACUGUCCGGCUUGGGGCCGGAAGACCUGAGGGGUACGUCCGGGGUAGGAGUGAAAUCCUGUAAUCUCGGACGGACCGUCUGUGGCGAAAGCGCCUCAGGAAGACGGACCCGACAGUGAGGGACGAAAGCCAGGGUCUCGAACCGGAUUAGAUACCCGGGUAGUCCUGGCUGUAAACGAUGUCCGCUAGGUGUGACGCAGGCUACGAGCCUGCGCUGUGCCGUAGGGAAGCCGUGAAGCGGACCGCCUGGGAAGUACGUCUGCAAGGAUGAAACUUAAAGGAAUUGGCGGGGGAGCACUACAACC